rnacentral:rRNA from 1 species
GAGCGAACGGGGAGCAGCCCAGAGCCUGAAUCAGUGUGUGUGUUAGUGGAAGCGUCUGGAAAGGCGUGCGAUACAGGGUGACAGCCCCGUACACAAAAAUGCACAUGCUGUGAGCUCGAUGAGUAGGGCGGGACACGUGGUAUCCUGUCUGAAUAUGGGGGGACCAUCCUCCAAGGCUAAAUACUCCUGACUGACCGAUAGUGAACCAGUACCGUGAGGGAAAGGCGAAAAGAACCCCGGCGAGGGGAGUGAAAAAGAACCUGAAACCGUGUACGUACAAGCAGUGGGAGCACGCUUAGGCGUGUGACUGCGUACCUUUUGUAUAAUGGGUCAGCGACUUAUAUUCUGUAGCAAGGUUAACCGAAUAGGGGAGCCGAAGGGAAACCGAGUCUUAACUGGGCGUUAAGUUGCAGGGUAUAGACCCGAAACCCGGUGAUCUAGCCAUGGGCAGGUUGAAGGUUGGGUAACACUAACUGGAGGACCGAACCGACUAAUGUUGAAAAAUUAGCGGAUGACUUGUGGCUGGGGGUGAAAGGCCAAUCAAACCGGGAGAUAGCUGGUUCUCCCCGAAAGCUAUUUAGGUAGCGCCUCGUGAAUUCAUCUCCGGGGGUAGAGCACUGUUUCGGCAAGGGGGUCAUCCCGACUUACCAACCCGAUGCAAACUGCGAAUACCGGAGAAUGUUAUCACGGGAGACACACGGCGGGUGCUAACGUCCGUCGUGAAGAGGGAAACAACCCAGACCGCCAGCUAAGGUCCCAAAGUCAUGGUUAAGUGGGAAACGAUGUGGGAAGGCCCAGACAGCCAGGAUGUUGGCUUAGAAGCAGCCAUCAUUUAAAGAAAGCGUAAUAGCUCACUGGUCGAGUCGGCCUGCGCGGAAGAUGUAACGGGGCUAAACCAUG